GAGCCAGAUCUUGGAGGUGGCCUAUGAUUUUGAGGUCCCUCUCCCCGAUGGGAAACUCAAGAGCAUCUGCUUUGCCCUGCACACCCAGGUGUGUGAUAUCGCACAGCUGCCGGGAUCAGAGAACCAGGUCAAGGUGUUCUACUGUCUCCGCCUGCUCGCCUGUCUCUCCCCAGACCAAUGUAUUUCCCUUGUGGGCUCCCGGCUCAAGACUGACAAGGAGGGAAGCCGUGUGGCAUCCCUCUCCAUCUUUAGUGACU